GUAUGAAUCCACCGGGACCAUCCGCCAAGGCUAAAUACUCCUAAAAGACCGAUAGUGAACUAGUACCGUGAGGGAAAGGUGAAAAGAACCCCGAGAAGGGGAGUGAAAUAGAACCUGAAACUUUAUGCUUUUAAUGAGAUGGAGCCUACGGGUGACAUCGUACUUUUUGUAGAACGGACCAACGAGUUAGUGUAUGUGGCAAGGUUAAGGAAGUUAAAUCCGAAGCCGAAGUGAAAGCGAGCCUGAAUAGGGCGAUUGAGUCAUAUAUACUAGACCCGAAACUAGGUGAGCUUCCCAUGAGCAGGCUGAAGCGAUGGUAAAACAUCGUGGAGGGCCGAACCAUUAGGAGCUGCAAGUCCUUUGGAUGACUUGUGGGAAGGAGUGAAAAGCUAAUCGAACCUAGAGAUAGCUGGUUCUCCGCGAAAUAGCUUUAGGGCUAGCCUCGGAUUACUAUUUUACAGGGGUAGAGCUCUGAUUGGACUAGCGGGCCUCGCGGCUUAGUAAAUCCUGACAAACUUCGAAUACUGUAAAAACUAUACCGGGAGUCAGACGGUGACAGAUAAGUGCCAUCGUCAAGAGGGAAACAGCCCAGACUACUGUCUAAGGUCCCUAAUUAACAACUAAGUGGAAAAGGAUGUGGGAUUGCUGAGACAACCAGGAGGUUGGCUUAGAAGCAGCCAUUCCUUGAAAGAGUGCGUAAUAGCUCACUGGUCAAGCGAACCUGCGCCGAAAAUUCAACGGGGCUAAAGUUGUUAACCGAAGACGUAGAAUUACAAUUGUAAUUGGUAGCGGAGCGUUCUGUAUGUCGCUGAAGGUGAGAUGUGAGUCUUGCUGGAGAUAUCAGAAGUGAAAAUGUUGGUAUGAGUAACGUAAGGAAGAUGAAAACUCUUCCCGCCGAAAACCCAAGGUUUCCUACGCAACGGCAGUCGACGUAGGGUUAGUCGGUCCUAAGGUGUAACCGAGAGGUGAAGCUGAUGGAUAUCAGGUUAAUAUUCCUGAACUACUAAUAUAUAUCUAAGGGGGGACAUAUCGGGAUAUAGGAGAUGCUGAAUGAUUUGCAUUACGAACGUGAGACUUGAUACAUAGGAAAAUCCGUGUAACUAUAAGGUCGAGCUAAGUUACGUUGAUGUUGUUAGCUUGCUAAUGAUAGAUACUGCUCCUACUAUAUUCGGGUAUCGAGAA
rnacentral:ncRNA from 1 species